AACAAACGCUGGCGGCGUGCCUAAUACAUGCAAGUCGAACGGGGAAAGCUUUCGGGUGAGUACUAGUGGCGCACGGGUGAGUAACGCGUGGAUAAUCUGCCUUAGAGUGGGAGAUAGCUAGUCGAAAGAUUAGCUAAUACCGCAUAAGACCACAAGAACUGCGGUUCAAGGGGUCAAAGGUUUUUCGCUCUAAGAUGAGUCCGCGUAAGAUUAGCUAGUUGGUAGGGUAAUGGCUCACCAAGGCAACGAUCAGUAUCCGGUCUGAGAGGACGGUCGGACACACUGGAACUGAGACACGGUCCAGACUCCUACGGGAGGCAGCAGUGGGGAAUUUUUGGCAAUGGGGGCAACCCUGACCAAGCAACGCCGCGUGGGUGAUGAAGUCUCUUGGGACGUAAAACCCUUUCGACGGGGACGAAAGCCGCAAGGUUUGACGGUACCCGUAGAAGAAGCCCCGGCUAACUCCGUGCCAGCCGCCGCAGUAAGAC
rnacentral:rRNA from 1 species